CUGUGCAGGAUCUAAGACCUGGGAAAAGGACUGCUCCUGACAUCCCACUGGAGAGCUGAAUUUGCAGCUGGGAUCUAUUAGUUGCAUUUCUAAGCUUGAGAGCUCAUUUUCCCUUUACCUUGAAGUACUUACAUGUGGGGAGCUAAUCCCAGAGCCGGGAGAGGAGGAGGGACCUGCACAGAAGCCAUUUUCCCAGAGGUUUGGGGGAAGGAUCAAAUGAUGCGACGCGUGAAAAGUAUGCUAAAACUGUAAAUCGCCGUGCGGGAUUCUCGUUUUUGGAGG